rnacentral:rRNA from 1 species
CAAUAGCGUAUAUUAAAGUUGUUGCGGUAAAAAAGCUCGUAGUUGGAUUUCUGUUGAGAGCGACCGGUCCAUACCAUGUAUGCGUAUCUGGCUUGCUCUCGGCAUCCUCUCGAUAGACGUUACUGCGCUUGAUUGCGUGGUGCGGAUCUCGGGACUUUUACUUUGAGGAAAUUAGAGUGUUCACGGCAGGCUUUCGCCAGAAUACAUUGGCAUGGAAUAAUACUAUAGGAUCUUGGUUCUAUUUUGUUGGUUUCUAGAAUUGAGAUAAUGAUUAAUAGGGACAAUUGGGGGCAUUCGUAUCAACACGUCAGAGGUGGAAUUCUUGGAUUGUGUUGCGACGAACUACUGCGAAAGCAUUUGCCAAGGAUGUUUUCAUUGA